rnacentral:lncRNA from 1 species
CGGAAAGGCAGAGUUUGUACCUUCAGACACAUGAAAUGUUCAAAAUGGCAACAGUUCACCUACCCACCGCGCAAAUCAGGUGCACCUACUGCCAGCAGCCUGAGAUGUUUGGAGAUCAACCGUUGGUGACCACUGCUCUUGAAAGUUGACCGUUUGUCAGUCCUGGCCCUCACCGUUUCCACCACUGUGCACUCCUGCUCGUCUGUCAGCACACGGCCACGGCCACCACCAUGGGGUCUUCUGUCAAUUCUGCAGGAUGUAUCUGUCUUGAAUGGAACAUUUGCAACAGAGCCAGCGGUCCUGUCACAAACGAAUCCAAAAUGACCAGCAGGUGGCAAACUCUGCUAACGGAUAAGAAUUCAGACCACACAACCUUGAUAUUCAUCACAGUCAGCAAUAGUAAGAUAUGAUCAAUAAUGAUAAGUUACACAAUUAUUCCAGAGGUCGCAGAAAAAGAUACAAUAGGAUUAUAGGAUAUUAUUUUUGUAUAGGCUUACACCAAACAUCUAAAGGCAUAGUCAAACAAUAUUUUGAUCUGCAAAUUAUGAGAUUGUCCCAAGGACUCCUUAGGUGCAGAAUGCCUGGGGUAUAGUCACUGGGAUAUGUUUAUCAUGCAGAAUGGACUAUUGACACAAUUAUAUGUUGUUCAUUCUGUCUGCAAUGCUGAAUGUUCGCUGGUCUGCUUAG